rnacentral:rRNA from 1 species
GGGGCCCGCACAAGCAGCGGAGCAUGUGGCUUAAUUCGACGCAACGCGAAGAACCUUACCAAGGCUUGACAUACACCGAAAACUCGUAGAGAUACGGGGUCCGCAAGGGCGGUGUACAGGUGGUGCAUGGUUGUCGUCAGCUCGUGUCGUGAGAUGUUGGGUUAAGUCCCGCAACGAGCGCAACCCUCGUUCUAUGUUGCCAGCGGGUCAUGCCGGGGACUCAUAGGAGACUGCCGGGGUCAACUCGGAGGAAGGUGGGGACGACGUCAAAUCAUCAUGCCCCUUAUGUCUUGGGCUGCACACAUGCUACAAUGGCCGGUACAAAGGGCUGCUAAACCGCGAGGUGGAGCGAAUCCCAAAAAGCCGGUCUCAGUUCGGAUUGGGGUCUGCAACUCGACCCCAUGAAGUCGGAGUUGCUAGUAAUCGCAGAUCAGCAACGCUGCGGUGAAUACGUUCCCGGGCCUUGUACACACCGCCCGUCACGUCACGAAAGUCGGUAACACCCGAAGCCGGUGGCCCAACUCGCAAGAGAGGGAGCCGUCGAAGGUGGGAUCGGCGAUUGGGACGAAGUCGUAACAAGGUAACC